rnacentral:rRNA from 1 species
AAUAGAUACCCUGGUAGUCCACGCCGUAAACGGUGGGCACUAGGUGUGGGCGACAUUCCACGUCGUCCGUGCCGCAGCUAACGCAUUAAGUGCCCCGCCUGGGGAGUACGGCCGCAAGGCUAAAACUCAAAGGAAUUGACGGGGGGCCCGCACAAGCGGCGGAGCAUGUGGCUUAAUUCGACGCAACGCGAAGAACCUUACCAAGGCUUGACAUACACCGGAAAACCCUGGAGACAGGGUCCCCCUUGUGGUCGGUGUACAGGUGAUGCAUGGCUGUCGUCAGCUCGUGUCGUGAGAUGUUGGGUUAAGUCCCGCAACGAGCGCAACCCUUGUCCCGUGUUGCCAGCAGGCCCUUGUGGUGCUGGGGACUCACGGGAGACCGCCGGGGUCAACUCGGAGGAAGGUGGGGACGACGUCAAGUCAUCAUGCCCCUUAUGUCUUGGGCUGCACACGUGCUACAAUGGCCGGUACAAUGAGCUGCGAUACCGCGAGGUGGAGCGAAUCUCAAAAAGCCGGUCUCAGUUCGGAUUGGGGUCUGCAA